UCAUGUUUGCAGGCCUCUUCUGAAACAUAUGUAUAUUCAGGUAGGGAAGAGAGUAGUUCCUGGGAAGGGAUUAGUCCCAGGCAGGCCAGCAUGGCUGUUCUGUUUUGUGAUACAGUUUUUCUUUCUAGGAGACAAAUUCUAUCUGUGAGCAUUCAUAAACGACCUCAGUGUGGAGGGUAAAUUAACUGUUUAGAUUCCCACCAGGCACUGUGGCAAACGCCAGGAUAUUGAUUUAUGUCUCAUUAGAAGGCAUUUAUUUAGCUCCACGCUUGCAUGAUUUGUAUUUUCCUUCUCUUUGAAGCUUUGAAGCUGUCCACUUCCAAACUCCAGAGGUUUCCCAGCUGCAAUACCCUGCUGUGGGAUGGGCUGGGGCUCCAGGGUCUCUUCUUACUGAUUGGUUUCAGUUUUUAUAAUUACCUUACUGUGUGGGAGUUGGGGGUUGGACACAGCUGUCGGGGAGGUGUCUGGGUUGGAAUCCAGGUUGUCAGAGUUUGUGCUCUCCCCCUACCACGUGGAUUCUGGGUAUAGCUCUAAGCUCUUGUAGGUAAGUGGCUUUCCCUGCUAAGUCAUUUUUUCAGCCUGGAGUUUUGUCUUCUGUGGUGUGUUUUAUUUGCAACCCUAAUUUCUAUAAGCACCAACUGAGGGCAAGAGUUGAAGCUCUGCUGGUAGACAUGGCCUUACAGACACAAAGCCCAGAGUUUUGACCUUGGUGCCACACAAACAGGGUUUAGUAUCACACCUGGUAUCCCAGUGUUUGGGAGGUGCAGGCAGGAGGAAGAGAAGCUCAAGGUUAUCAUCAGCUACAUGAGGCUGUGUCUCAAAAAAUGAAGAGAAACCUUAGCAAUUGAAUAUAACAAAUCACAGAGGGGACGAACACUGACCUGACUGGGGAGGAGAGGGUUUAUUUGGUUUACUGUCCUGGGUCACACAGUGCAUUAGGGGAGCCAAGGCAGGAACUAAAGCAAGACAGGAACCUAGAAGGAGGUAGGAACUGGAGCAGAAGCCAUGGAGGAACAUUAUUAUUGGCUUGGUUCCUCUGUCUUACUCAGCCUGAUUUCUUACACAACCAGAGAUGGUACCCUAGGGUGGUAUCACCCAUAGUGAACUGCUCUUCCUCCCACCAAUCAUUAACCAAGAAAGCGCCCCUCCCCCAGACUUGCCUUCAGGCAUGUGUGAUUGAGGCAAUCUCUUCUCAGGUCUGUAUCAUGGUGACGAAAUCCAGCCAGUACAGCAGAGUAUCGUGAAUACACUUGGGUACAGGUAGUGGCUAGUGGACAGUGCACAGAAUGAGAGAGAGAUAGAGAACUGAAGAAAACCUCAACUCUCUUCAUUAUUGCAGUAGAAACGUAGACUAGAAUGAUGAAUACUUGCCCCAGUGAACAAAGAUCUCGUUAUAUGAUUCAGUGGAUCUUAAUACUUCUUUUUAGCCAUUCCCUCUUAUUCUUGAUUGUUGACUUUUGAGGAAAUUACAUAGUCUGGGAUAAUUUGAGGUUUGGUAUUUCGUGCAAACACAGGAUUGAUAUCAUUGGCUAGGUCCCAGUUUCCAGAGUCAUUUUUUUUCUCCAUCUUUAUUAAAUUGGGUAUUGUUUAUUUACAUUUCAAUUGUUAUUACCUUUCCUGGUUUCCAGGCCAACAUCCCCCUAACACCUUUCCCCUCCCACUCUAUAUGGGUGUUCCCCUCCCCAUCCUCCCCCCAUUACCACCCUCCCCCCAACAAUCACAUUCACUGGAGGUUCAGUCUUGGCAGGAUGAAGGGCUUCCCCUUCCACUGGUGCCCUUACUAGGCUCUUCAAUGUUACCUAUGCAGUUGGAGCCCAGGGUCAGUCUUUGGGUAGUGACUUAGUCACCUGAAGCUCUGGUUGGUUGGCAUUGUUGCUCAUAGGGGGUCUCAAGCCCCUUCAAGCUCUAUCAGUCCUUUCUCUGAUUUCUUCAAUGGGGUGGUCCCAUUCUCGGUUCAGUGGUUUGCUGCUGGCAUUCACCUAUGCAUUUGCCAUAUUCUGGCUGUGUCUCUCAGGAGAGAUCUACAUCCAGUUCCUGUCAGCCUGCACUUCUUUGUUUCAUCCAUCUUAUCUAGUUUGGUUGGUGUAUAUAUAUGGGCCACAUGUGGGGCAGGCUCUGAAUGGGUGUUCCUACAGCCUUCCAGAGCCUUCCUAACCCGAGCUUUCUCUUAGCGUUAGGAAUCAUCCUACACAUGGCUGUCCUCUUCACAGCAAGCGUACCAUUGACACUGAGAUAGUAGGUGACUAAGCUGGCAAGAGUAGUGCCACAUCCCAGCAGAAGAUCUCGAGGUUCAGGAUAGCUGGGUCUAUCUGGUGAAAUUCCUCUGAGAAAAGAGAUUCUUGGGAACUAACAGGGGUUCAUGGUCUACUCUACGGAGAAAAUGAAGAUCUGUUCCCAAAUACUGAGCCUCAUUUUGAUUAAUACAUUUGUAUCUUACCCAUGUUGAACUUUUGCUCAAAAAUUGUUUUAGACUUGGUCAUUAAAAAGUACUGAUAGAUCUAUCAUUCUCUGUCAUUAAUACAUUAGUCUAUGUGAAUCAGAGUACACAGAGAUGUUUGGAAGACAAAGUUUCUUCUUAGCAUGAAAUUCUUGCCGUGGCUUUGCCAACUUUGGGCUGUAUGAUCUGAAGAUUAGCUAACCCCUCAAAACCAACUUUUUCCUCACUAAGAUCUAGCACAGCUACCACCCCUAUCUUGCAGAGCACAGUGAAGACUGAUAAGCACUUGUGUAGGCACGGCUUGUAGAAAUCAGUACUAUUUAAGUGUUUUAGGAAUUUUAAGCUUAAGUAAGCUUGAGUCCGAUUUAAAUUUUCAUUCAUGUCGAGAAAGCAUAAAAUAUUCUUGCAUUCCAUGUUUGCUCUCAAGACAGCCAGGAUUUUGACAGAAUAUUUGAUUUGGGCUUCUGGAGCAGACAUAUAACCUGAUGGCUUAGUGUUCCAUACACAAUGCCAGACAAAAGGCAGCUUUUAACAAAGUUCCUGUAUGGUAUUUAUCUCAGUUACUUAGAUGCUUUGCUUCUGUUUGACAUAGCAUGGAAAGUUUGGCUUUGAUCGUUAAAAUCUUUUGAUUUCAAUAUGAAUUCUGAAGGAGGAUGAAUGGACUGGUUACAAUCCACUCCUUCCUCUGUUCUUAGACUAAGCAACCUGGGGAUUCCUGGGGCGUGGGCUUUUCACAUCAGCAGCAGGCUGGCGCUGGACAAUGUCUGGCCAGCCACGGUCAGAGGUGACCAUUCCACAGCCUGUUCCUCAGUGCUGGAGCACUCCUCCAACCAUGCUGCAGCCCUGGAGAUCUGUACUGAGGACAGUUGCAAUUAUCACAAUGAGAAUGGAGAGGAUGUAGAAUACCCACCAAUUGAACCAGGGGAGGCCCUAGAAGGCCACAGGAGAAUGGAUGUAUUGAUGUGUCUUUCAAAUCAAAGGCUAAUUCGAGCUUUGUGGAUAUUGGCACCACGUCUCCAGAUUCUGAUCACGCUUCUCCUUUGCCACACCCAGCACCUGGUAACUGGCCAUCCUACCGGGAAACAGAAUCGGCUUCUUUGGUCCAUCAAAUCAAACAGGGGCCACCUGUGGGAGAUGUAGGGGUCCUGGAUUUCAAGGACGUAGCAUUGCUUUUGGAUCCAGUGGGCACCAGAACCCCAGCUCCUCCACAGGCAGAUGCAGCUUUCCUAACUCCAGGCAGGAAAGACCUUGGGAACAGAAACACCCAGUCCUAUCCAGAGGCACGGUCAAUGCUUUCACAGCCAGAUGUUCCCCUCGCUCCUUUGGAAGGAGAAAUCCUUCCUAAUUACCCCGAGUCUGGUACAUGCCACCCCUGAGUGGAGGGAGGUAUGUGGUAGGACUGGAUGACCACGUGAGUUCUAAAGCUCAAGGCAAGUGCAUUGAAAAACUGGGCAUUUGAGGUUUUGUUUAAAGAAAAUAUAGCAGAGUUGACAAACUAGACAUGGUCAUUCACCUGGGCCCAUUCCUGUCCGGGCAGGCUGGGACAGGCUGGGGCAGACUGAGACAGAAAGAUUUUCUAGGUUCAAGAGUAGCCUGGGCCAUAUAGAGAAUUGUAGGCCAGCCUGGAUUAUACAGCCAGCUCUCCUCCCAAGUGUAAUGAAAAAUUUCGGGUUGCAAGUUCAGAGAAGGUGAGCUAUUUCGAGGCUUCAUAGGCAUUGCAGGAUGGAGGGUAUAGCCAUUUAGCUUUGACUGUGGUAGUUAGCUGUGCAGGCUUAGGCAAACAUGCUGAAGAGCCUUAGGGAGAGAACAUGGUAUAGACACCUGUGUCUGCUAUUAGUUCUGGUUCUUGUCCCCACAGCUGUGGCCUUCACCUCCCCUGAACCACCUUAACCUGGUUCUGUGACUCACUAGCACUAAAGGUAGCAGGAAGAAGGCAGGGGAAUGCCCAGAGGGAACAACUUUUCAUCCAUCCUGAUGGACUGGGAAACUGGUCCUAGAUUCAUCCUCCCCUACACCUAUCUCCCGCUCUCCCUGCUCAAUGAUCUCUGCCAGGAGGACGUGUCAGAGGUCACACCUCUCUCCACAGCAUUUCAACUUCACAGUUUUUCUGUCCGUGUAUUGACAAAAACAUUAACCUAGCAGAGAGGACCUUCUGGUUCUGCUGGGACAUUUUCUGCAGGUUCAGGAGUUGUUUAGAGAAAUAGUUCAGGAGGGAAGAAAACACUUUGUGUUUAACAGAGUAUAGAGUAAUAGUUAGGGUAGGACCGUUGUUGUCAAGUUUGAAUCUUGGCCAUGCUAAGGCAACUUAUUUCACCCUCAAGUCUCUGAUUUUCAUUUAUAAACGUAUCGCCAGGAUUUGUUGUUAGUGUAUGUUAUGUUUUGAGUGUCUGCAUUAGUCUAUUCCUCAGAAGACAAUUAAGACCAUCAUUACUAAUCUUUAGAGGAUUUAAAACAUAGCAAACUGGAGGAUGGUGGGGUGAACAGCUGGGCUGGAAAACAGAGAAACUGAAAACAGAAAGUCUCAUUAAAAAGCUUUUGCCUCCUGGCUCCUUUUCUGCUUGAUGAAGUUUGAUGAGCAUUUGUUUUUUUUUAAAGCCAAAGGCAUGGAUUUCUUUUCAACGUUCUAGAACUUUCAAAUUCGUCUAACAAUCUCCUAUAAUAUUCAGUGUGAGUUCUUUCUAUCUAAAGAGAUUUAAAGGCACGAAUCAAAAAUUUCCUCAAAGGGAUUUUGUGUUACAGAUGUGUUUUUGAGUGGCCUUUUGUUGCGGGUUGUAUUUUCCUGGCCCAGGAAGAGCACACAGUUAUUGGAAAGUGGUUGUAUGUACAGUUGUCUGAAACCUGAGGAGCGGGCUAUGGCCCAGCACAAAACUGUAAACUGACCUAAAACCUUCAGAGAGUUUUCUUUUGCAAUCGGUCAUGGUCCUUGAAGCAUGAACUUUGGAGAUGAUAAUGUGUCACGGUGUCAAAGGUUGUGCGUGGCUGUUUAAGAGCUCAGAAAGGCCUGAAAUGGAGCCAGUCACUGGGAACUGAGGGUAACAGCAUAACCCAGGAGGGACAUGAUCUGUGCUAUUUAAUCAGCUGCCAAAUGUAGUCAAUGCUGACAUCUAAAUGCUAGAAUGUUUAUGAAAAAGACAUUCAGGGGGAGAUUGUCCAACUGGAAGCUUUUAAGUCUUAGAGGAGAAAAAUACUUUUAAAUUUUAUUUAAAAAAAUUUAUGUGUGUUCAUGUGUACACGUUCAUGUGUGGGAAAGCCUAGCCCUUAAGAAAGAAUGUUUGGUGAGCUGUGUGAACCAUAGAAACACGUAAUUGUUAUUAUUUAUGUUCAGAGGAAACACUGUUCUCCCGGAGGUUUAUCCAGCAGCUGUGGGCUUACUCUGGGCAGCUGUUGACAUGGGGCUGAGCUGUAGUACCAGCUCAAGGUAGGAAAUGCGUGGCUUCUGGUAGUGGAUGGACUUGAGUUCCCCCGCAGUGUAGUUUGAACACAGAUGCUGUUUGAACCUUAUUUUCUGAACAGAGAGCACCCUUCUCAAUAAAUUUUAACUUCCCCUUUAAGCAUAUAGGAUUUGGUUUGCUGAGUCAGGGAAUUAGGAUUUUGUUAAAGGCUCAGAAAAUUUCUCUUCUUUUUAGUAUUGUUUUCAUUAGGGUGUGUGUGUGUGUGUGUGUGUGUGUGUGUGUGUGUGUGUGUCUGUGUCUGUGUUUGUGUGUGUGUCUGUGCAUGCCUGCCUGCCUGCCUGCCUGUGCAUAUGUAUAUGUGUUGUAUAGGCCCCAUAGGCAUAGGAAUAGGAGAGGUGCUCUGAAGUGGCCCCAGGUCAGCUUAUGCAGCAUGGUAGUAUAGACAGGUUCCAUGCUGCCACCCUGAGCAGUGUUUCUUUGUCCUGCAGCCCUGCUCAUAUUGGGAGCUUUCAAUUCCAGGCUGCAGUAGGUUUUUGGUUGUCACAGCAGAGAGUAUCUGCAUUCUCACCGCCAGGGAGGUAGACCCCAUUUGCAAAGAGAGAGAGAUUGUUGGGGAAAGGCUGCAGCGCAUUUGUUAGUCUCAGUAGAUUGAGCAGCUGUGAACUUUCCCUUCACUAAGGCCAUCCCUAACUCAAGCCUCGGGAACUGUUCCCUACAGCUUUUACUCUGGACUGAGCUCACCCUCCCUGUUGCCUGCCCUGAUCCUCAGCUGUAGAGAGCCACAAUAACAUUCGUCACCACAUGAUGGCGCUGGCUUCCACUGCACCCCACGUGGAAAGCCGAGAUAACAUUUGCCAUUACAAGAUGGCGCUGGCUUCCGCCAUGCCAGCCCGACUUCCUUUCAGGAAGUUAACUGUGUGCACAUGUGCAAGAGUGUCUUCCUGCCAGGUCUUUGCCGACUCCGGGGCGUGCCUAUGAGAUCAUGGGUAAGCGACCAAUCAGGAGUGGAUGUGCCGCGCUAGGGUGUAUAUAAGCCGCGCCAUGAUGGCGCCCCGAGUCCCCUCUCUUUAAGAUACCAUAAACAUUUUGCUACAGAAGGAUUCAUGUGUCCGUGAGUGUUCUUGCUGGCGAGACGAUAGCGCGAGACACUCAGCUUCCACCUGGUUCCCAGCAGCUACACAAACAGACCAGUUCUUUUAGUCUGAGGCAGGGAUUUUGUUGCAGCUUUCAACCUGGAGUAGAAAGCGCUGCUAAGGUGCUGGGGUCCUCGCAGCUGGGAGAACUGAAGUAGAGGAGGAAGGUGCGGCCAGGUCGAAAGCUCUGGGCCAGGGUGUGGUGGUAUCACAGGUGGCCAUUUCUGAGCACCUUCUCCACUGCUGUUUCUCACCCCCUGGCUUCUGAUACUCGCAGGCUGCUUCUGACAUUCCCAUAGUGACGCAGGAUGGGGAGGGUACUGUGGGCAACAAGUAGACACACCACCCAAUCCGGAUCAGGCGACCCAAGGGUGUCUGUUAGCCCCGCCUCCGCCCCCCAUGUCCCACCCCCAGACUGCGGCCAAGCUGCUCAAGUGGUUCUAGCUGUUGGUGGGGUCCUGCAGCUGUGAUAGGCUCCUCCUCUCCGGCCCUUCCUCCCCGCACACCUCUCAGGCCCUCCUGGGAUAGCUGUCCUCCUCUGGGGCCCUGUACUUGCUCCCAGCCAUGGUGGCUAGCUCACUGCUCUCCUCCUUUACCUCGUUUUCUCCUUGGCCAUCCUGGUCCAGACAGGAUAUGGAGACUUCGAUGAUUUUAAUCUGGAGGAUGCACUGAAAGAAACUUCCUCAGUAAAGCGUGACUCAAACAAACAAGUCCACCAAGCAAACACAAGUGGUCGGCCAUGCACCACACUGACAAUCUUGCCUUCAGAAAAGUACACGCAUAUGAGACUAGCUGUACCUCCAUCUACCUGUUUGUUCUGUUGUGCAAGGCUUGUGUCGUUUUGUCAUACGUGUGUCAUCUUCCUUUUACAUUUAGAAAAUUUCAUAAUUUUCAUUAUGUUGAAACCACAAGAGAACAUGCAUCUGCCUUCGCCUUUUUUCUGCUGUACAAAAAGAGAACUCCGACCCGUUUCAUUCCUCUCACUGUUUUGUUUUGAGACAGGGUCUCUUGAUUCAGCCCGAGUUGUCCUGAAAUUCUCUGUGCCGAGAAGCCCGGCUUUGACUUGGGUCCAGUGCUAGAGCAACAGUGACUCUUGGCCACUGAUGUGCAUUUCUAGCUUCAGAACCCAUGACUUUUUAUGAUUCUUCAGUGUGAUCCCCACAAUGGCCUCGGGGACCUAUACCGAGACCAUUCUCACGAUGUGACUUCCGUUAACCAUAAAGCAGCCACUGUGUUUUACAAUCUGCUUCCUUUCGUCCUCCCUUCUCCCUUCAGAGAGCCACUUUAGCACCACGACUAGAAGGACAGGAACAACCAGAGCCCCAUCAAAUCCAGCAGAGAGAGGGGACCACAUCACCACUACUACAACGAGAAGGCCAGGAACAACUAGAGCACCAUCAAAUCCUAUGGAACUUGAUAGGUUUGACUUGGAAGAUGCCUUGGAUGAUCAGAAUGAUCUAGAUGGCCCCAAAAAGCAAAGUACAGGAGAAGGAGGAGGUUGAUCAGACAAGGAUCUCGAAGAUAUCUUGGGAGGCGGGGGAUACAAACCUGACAAGAAUAAAGGUAGGAAUGUUGCUUUGUUUGGCAACACAUGGAUUCUCCUUAAAAUGCUAACCAUCCGGCCACCAGGUAAACAUGUCACUCUCAGCCUCUGGCAAAUCAGGCUUUGACAUGUGCACCUGUCAUGUGCAGUAGGCUCUCAUUCUUGUGGGUGGGGGCUCAUUUGUGAGCCAUCCUGGGAUGCUACCCAUUUGCUCUGUUGCUCUUUAAGCCUGAGCUGGUGUCCCCACUACCUAGGUGCACCUCAUAAGCCAGUUUUCCAUGCAGUGCGAGGGUUCAAACUUAACAUGGCACACAUUUUAAAGAAGCCCCUAGCAAAUCAGAUGUUUACAAAAUUCCUUUGGAUUCCAUUUCCCCUUCCCAGGAAGAUUCACACUUCCCUCCUAUUGGAUUCCAGGAAGUGGAAAAUCUCCUUGGGGUGUAUCCUGUGAGCAAAGAAACUAUUUUCAAUUAAAAAGACAAAAAGUUGGGGGAGGGGAAGGAGAGGGAAUGGGUGCUGAUGGACAGGAAGGCGGGAAGGGGA